rnacentral:rRNA from 1 species
UAGGGAAUCUUCCGCAAUGGACGCAAGUCUGACGGAGCAACGCCGCGUGAGUGAAGAAGGAUUUCGGUUCGUAAAACUCUGUUGUUAGAGAAGAACAGCGCAUAGAGUAACUGUUAUGCGUGUGACGGUAUCUAACCAGAAAGCCACGGCUAACUACGUGCCAGCAGCCGCGGUAAUACGUAGGUGGCCAGCGUUGUCCGGAUUUAUUGGGCGUAAAGCGAGCGCAGGCGGUCAAUUAAGUCUGAUGUGAAAGCCCCCGGCUCAACCGGGGAGGGUCAUUGGAAACUGGUUGACUUGAGUGCAGAAGAGGAGAGUGGAAUUCCAUGUGUAGCGGUGAAAUACGUAGAUAUAUGGGGGAACACCGGUGGCGAAGGCGACUCUCUGGUCUGUAACUGACGCUGAGGCUCGAAAGCGUGGGUAGCAAACAGG